rnacentral:rRNA from 1 species
GACGAACGCUGGCGGCGUGCUUAACACAUGCAAGUCGAACGGAAAGGCCCUGCUUUUGUGGGGUGCUCGAGUGGCGAACGGGUGAGUAACACGUGAGUAACCUGCCCUUGACUUUGGGAUAACUUCAGGAAACUGGGGCUAAUACCGGAUAGGAGCUCCUGCUGCAUGGUGGGGGUUGGAAAGUUUCGGCGGUUGGGGAUGGACUCGCGACUUAUCAGCUUGUUGGUGGGGUAGUGGCUUACCAAGGCUUUGACGGGUAGCCGGCCUGAGAGGGUGACCGGCCACAUUGGGACUGAGAUACGGCCCAGACUCCUACGGGAGGCAGCAGUGGGGAAUAUUGCACAAUGGGCGGAAGCCUGAUGCAGCAACGCCGCGUGCGGGAUGACGCCCUUCGGGUUGUAAACCGCUUUCGCCUGUGACGAAGCGUGAGUGACGGUAAUGGGUAAAGAAGCACCGGCUAACUACGUG